AACACGUAAACAACCUGCCUUCAAGAUGGGGACAACAGACGGAAACGACUGCUAAUACCGAAUACGAUCCGAAAGUCGCAUGACAUUUGGAUGAAAAGGGUGGCCUAUCGAAGAAGCUAUCGCUUGAAGAGGGGUUUGCGUCCGAUUAGGUAGUUGGUGAGGUAACGGCCCACCAAGCCGACGAUCGGUAGCCGGUCUGAGAGGAUGAACGGCCACACUGGAACUGAGACACGGUCCAGACUCCUACGGGAGGCAGCAGAG
rnacentral:rRNA from 1 species